CACAGGAAAGUGAAGGCACUCUGUCUUCCUGCCCUGGAGGCUGCCUGGGCCUGCUGACCUUGUGCCAUGUCCUGUGCCCACAGUAGGGGAACUGAAGAGUGUCUGCUGGGCACUACCAGGCAGAAGGGAGCUGUACCCCAUGGAGGUAAUUAAGUGGCAGAUGAAGUUAACUGUGUUGGACACAGGCCCCUAGGGAGUAGAGACUGCUCCUGUCCAGCCCUAGCUGACACACAUCUCCCUAGGGUGACCUUGGCUGUUGACUGGAUGGGCAGAUCAUCUGUUAAAGAAGGAGGGGAGGAGGGACAGUUCCUCUCCCCACAGCCCUGUACCACUCCUAGAAGUCACAAAUUCCACCAGGUUGGCCAAGGAUAAGGUCCCCUGGGACCAUCUGGGAUGUAACCCAGCAGAUCCCCUUGUGCCUGAGACAGCCCGGGGUCACAGAGAUCAUUGCAGACAGGUGGGCAGGCAAGCAGCCUUCCAGCCUGGACCUGGGGCCUUGAGGCUGCCAGCAGGAGUGUGGACUGGCCCUGGAGGAUGGCGCAGGGGACGGAUCUCCUGGCUCCCCUCUGCAUGCUCCCUGGUUGUUCCCUGGCAGGGAGAAAGCAGCUGGCUCUGGGUGGGGCCCGUACUGAGGGACAGGAGAACACUUUGCUCCCUUCCUUACCUUCCAGAUCUAUGCCAAUCUUACUUCCUGCUGAGCCCCACCCAAGGGACUCCUUUCCUGAGCAGCCUCAGCCCCCUCCCAUGAACAUCAAGUUGUCUGUGAUCUUUGUUUCCAAGGGUACUCCUGCUGCAUCUGGAGGGAAUCCAGGCAGGGUCUUUGUAUCUGUGUUGCCAGGAGGUAAUGUGUGUGAAUCCAGAUCUAUGUAGAUCCAUGUGUCUGGGAAUAGGCAACUCCACAUGUGGGUCCUCGGGUAGGUGGGUCUCCUUUCUCCCUCUGCCAAGCAUAGCCUGACACCCACAGUGCCAACCCAGAGAGGGAGGAGCCUCCUCAACCAAGCCCCUGGAGUCCAGAAGAGAGGAGCUCCAGGAGGGCCCCAUCCUCAUACCCCACCUUCUGUACCUGUGCCAUCCACCUGGGUAUCACUGGCCUCCACAAGCCCCCGCCAUUUCCGCUCUGUCUCCUUCACCUCAGGCACAUAGAAGUCUCCCUGCCGUGCCAGUGGGCACAUGAAAUGGAUCUGGUCUUCCUGGUAGAUCUCCAGCCGAGGAUAGGCACACAGCUUCCGUGCCUAGUCAGAGAGUGGCAAAAGGCUGGGCAGCACCAGGCUGCCACCCGGUGCCACCUGCUCUGCCAGCCCCCUUGUUGGCAGGCGGGAGGCAGUCUGCGGCUGUUCUGCGCAUCUGCCUCCUCCGGAGAGCCCGGCUCUGAAGUUGCCUGGCUGUGGACAGCCCCGUUGCCAUGGAAACUGCAUCCUCCAUCCUUGCCAUCGCCUUCAUCUCAAAGCCAUCGGGGAGAAUAGAGGAACAAGGGAGACAGCGGAUGGAGAGAAAACCAUGUCCCUGCCACACAGCCCUUCCUUCUCUGCCCAGCUCUCCCUCCUCACAGCAUCCCACACAGGGAGCACCAGGUCCUACAGCCUGUUCCCAGACCCCUGGAGGGGCAGCCUCAGGCCCAAAACUAGCCUGGUCCUACCCACUGUUACCUGGGGGCCCUGCUCCUCCCUACUGGAGGGAGGCAUGGAGCUAAUUAAAGUGCCAUUGACUGUUCAGCCCCAAA